GACGAACGCUGGCGGCGUGCUUAACACAUGCAAGUCGAACGGAGUGGCGAACAGGUGAGUAACACGUGGGUGACCUGCCCUGCACUUCGGGAUAAGCCUGGGACACUGGGUCUAAUACCGGAUAGUGUGGGAUGGGCCCGCGGCCUAUCAGCUUGUUGGUGGGGUAAUGGCCUAGCAAGGCGGCGACGGGUCGCCGGCCUGAGAGGGUGGACGGCCACAUGGGGACGGGGACAGGGACCGGAGUCCUACGGGAGGCAGCAGUGGGGAACAUUGCACAAUGGGCGGAAGCAGGAUGCAGGGACGCCGGGUGGGGGAUGACGGCCUUCGGGUUGUAAACUCCUUUCACCAGCGACGCGGUAGAUGGAGAAGAAGCACCGGCUAACUACGUGCCAGCAGCGGCGGUAAUAC
rnacentral:rRNA from 1 species